rnacentral:rRNA from 1 species
GUGCCAGCCGCCGCGGUAAUACGUAGGUGGCGAGCGUUGUCCGGAUUUACUGGGCGUAAAGAGCGCGCAGGCGGUCGUCCAAGUCGCGUGUGAAAGCCCCCGGCUCAACUGGGGAGGGUCACGCGAUACUGAUCGACUCGAAGGCAGGAGAGGGUAGUGGAAUUCCCGGUGUAGUGGUGAAAUGCGUAGAUAUCGGGAGGAACACCAGUGGCGAAGGCGACUACCUGGCCUGUUCUUGACGCUGAGGCGCGAAAGCUAGGGGAGCAAACGGGAUUAGAAACCCUUGUAGUCC